GGGCGAGUGGUGGAAUGGUAGACACGCAUGCCUUAGGAGCAUGUGCCGCAAGGUGUGAAGGUUCAAGUCCUUUCUCGCCCACCA
rnacentral:tRNA from 1 species